rnacentral:ncRNA from 15 species
UUGGGCUGCGUUAGAUCUUCGUCUACCGCUCCUUCGUGCCUCAGGAUCGAUAGACGAAGAUCUAACGCUUCCUCUAGUAAAGAGUCAGAUGAUGGGGUGAAAGCCCCAUUAUUUAUUAUAA